rnacentral:misc_RNA from 1 species
GCACACGCCGGCGCACUGUCAUCGAGACGACAAACUUCCCGCAAACCCGCGCCAGGC